UACGGAGGAUCCAAGCGUUAUCCGGAUUUAUUGGGUUUAAAGGGUGCGCAGGCGGCCGUGUGUGUCAGGUGUGAAAGCCCGGAGCUUAACUCCGGAAUUGCGCCUGAAACUACAUGGCUAGAGCAUUGGAGAGGGUAGCGGAAUUCACGGUGUAGCAGUGAAAUGCGUAGAUAUCGUGAGGAACACCAGAGGCGAAGGCGGCUACCUGGACAAUUGCUGACGCUCAGGCACGAAAGCGUGGGGAGCAAAAGGG
rnacentral:rRNA from 1 species